CGGAGGCGCUCAAAGGUUCUCUCAGUACGGUCGGAAAUCGUACGUAGAGUGUAAAGGCAAAAGAGAGCUUGAUUGCAAGACAUACAGGUCGAGCAAGGAUGAAAAUCGGACUUAGUGAUCCGGUGGUUCUGCGUGGAAGGGCCAUCGCUCAACGGAUAAAAGCUACCCUGGGGAUAACAGGCUUAUCUCCCCCAAGAGUCCACAUCGACGGGGAGGUUUGGCACCUCGAUGUCGGCUCAUCACAUCCUGGGGCUGUAGUAGGUCCCAAGGGUUGGGCUGUUCGCCCAUUAAAGUGGUACGCGAGCUGGGUUCAGAACGUCGUGAGACAGUUCGGUCCCUAUCCGUCGCAGGCGUAGGAAAUUUGAGAAGACCUGUCCUUAGUACGAGAGGACCGGGAUGGACGUACCUCUGGUGUACCAGUUGUCCUGCCAAGGGCAUGGCUGGGUAGCUAUGUACGGAAUGGAUAAGCGCUGAAAGCAUCUAAGCGCGAAGCCAACUUCAAGAUAAGAUUUCCCACCGCAAGGGUAAGACCCCAGAAAGACUAUCUGGUUGAUAGGUCGAAGGUGUAAGUGCAGCAAUGUAUUUAGCUUAUCGAUACUAAUAGGUCGAGGACUUGACCAAUAUU
rnacentral:rRNA from 1 species